rnacentral:rRNA from 1 species
UGGGGAAUAUUGGACAAUGGGCGCAAGCCUGAUCCAGCAAUGCCGCGUGUGUGAAGAAGGCCUUCGGGUUGUAAAGCACUUUCAGUAGGGAAGAAAAGCCUGAGGUUAAUACCCUCGAGUCUUGACGUUACCUACAGAAGAAGCACCGGCUAAUUCCGUGCCAGCAGCCGCGGUAAUACGGAAGGUGCUAGCGUUAAUCGGAAUUACUGGGCGUAAAGCGCACGUGGCGGUUGAGUAAGUCGGAUGUGAAAGCCCCGGGCUUAACCUGGGAAUUGCAUUCGAUACUGCCCGACUAGAGUAUGGGAGAGGGUAGCGGAAUUCCGGGUGUAGCGGUGAAAUGCGUAGAUAUCCGGAGGAACAUCAGUGGCGAAGGCGGCUACCUGGGCUAAAACUGACGCUGAGGUACGAAGGCGUGGGGAGCAAACAGGAUUAGAUACCCGCGUAGUCC